rnacentral:hammerhead_ribozyme from 1 species
AGUUGGCUGACGAGUCCCAAACAGGACGAAAUGCGCAUCUUGGCU